UGGAGUAUGUGGUUUAAUUCGAUGCAACGCGAAGAACCUUACCUGGCCUUGACAUCCCGGAAUUUCCUGGAAACAGGAGAGUGCUUUCAUUAGAGAGAACCUGGAGACAGGUGCUGCAUGGCUGUCGUCAGCUCGUGUCGUGAGAUGUUGGGUUAAGUCCCGCAACGAGCGCAACCCUUGCCUUUAGUUGCCAGCAGUUCGGCUGGGCACUCUAAAGGGACUGCCGGUGUCAAACCGGAGGAAGGUGGGAUGACGUCAAGUCCUCAUGGCCUUUAUGUCUAGGGCUACACACGUACUACAAUGGCCGGUACAAAGGGCAGCCACUCAGCGAUGAGGCGCUAAUCCCAUAAAGCCGGUCUCAGUCCGGAUCGCAGUCUGCAACUCGACUGCGUGAAGUUGGAAUCGCUAGUAAUCGUAGAUCAGCAUGCUACGGUCGAAUACGUUCCCGGGCCUU
rnacentral:rRNA from 1 species